GACGAACGCUGGCGGCGUGCUUAACACAUGCAAGUCGAGCGGUAAGGCCCUUUGGGGUACACGAGCGGCGAACGGGUGAGUAACACGUGAGUAAUCUGCCUUUGGCUUGGGAAUAACUUCGGGAAAUCGGGGCUAAUGCCUGAUGUUUACUGUCUGCUGCAUGGUGGGUGGUGGAAAGAUUUUUUGGCCAGGGAUGAGCUCGCGGUCUAUCAGCUUGUUGGUGGGGUAAUGGCUACCAAGGCUUUGACGGGUAGCCGGCCUGAGAGGGUGUUCGGCCACACUGGGACUGAGACACGGCCCAGACUCCUACGGGAGGCAGCAGUGGGGAAUCUUGCGCAAUGGGCGAAAGCCUGACGCAGCCAUGCCGCGUGAAUGAUGAAGGUCUUAGGAUUGUAAAGUUCUUUCGCCCGUGACGAUGAUGACGGUAACGGGAGAAGAAGCCCCGGCUAACUUCGUGCCAGCCGCCGCGGUAA
rnacentral:rRNA from 1 species